rnacentral:tRNA from 1 species
GGUCUUAUAUUUUAUAUAAAUUAUUAAAUUGCAAAUUUAAAGAUGAUUAAAAGUCUAAGACUU